rnacentral:piRNA from 1 species
UCCUUUUGCUGAUACUGAUUUGAGCACUU